UACGUAGGUGGCGAGCGUUGUCCGGAUUUACUGGGCGUAAAGGGCGUGUAGGCGGUUAGUUAAGUCUGGCGUGAAAGCUCUCGGCUAAACCGGGAGAGGUCGUUGGAUACUGGCUGACUAGAGGACGGUAGAGGCGUGUGGAAUUCCGGGUGUAGUGGUGAAAUGCGUAGAGAUCCGGAGGAACACCAGUGGCGAAGGCGACACGCUGGGCCGUACCUGACGCUAAAGCGCGACAGCAUGGGGAGCAAACGGG
rnacentral:rRNA from 1 species